rnacentral:misc_RNA from 1 species
UCUCCGUUGGUGAACCAGCGGAGGGAUCAUUACCGAGUUUACAACUCCCAAACCCAAUGUGAACCAUAUCAAACUGUUGCCUCGGCGGGGUCACGCCCCGGGUGCGUCGCAGCCCCGGAACCAGGCGCCCGCCGGAGGGACCAACCAAACUCUUUCUGUAGUCCCCUCGCGGACGUUAUUUUUACAGCUCUGAGCAAAAAUUCAAAAUGAAUCAAAACUUUCAACAACGGAUCUCUUGGUUCUG